rnacentral:rRNA from 1 species
ACUGCGAGUGAAGCGGCAAAAGCUCAAAUUUGAAAUCUGGUACCAUUCGGUGCUCGAAUUGUAAUUUGGAGAGGCAACUUCGGAGAGGGCGUUGGCCUAAGUUCCUUGGAACAGGACGUCAUAGAGGGUGAGAAUCCCGUGCUUGGCUGACUGUCCCUCUUCAUGUGAAGUGUCUUCGACGAGUCGAGUUGUUUGGGAAUGCAGCUCAAAAUGGGUGGUAAACUCCAUCUAAGGCUAAAUAUUGGCGAGAGACCGAUAGCGCACAAGUAGAGUGAUCGAAAGAUGAAAAGCACUUUGAAAAGAGAGUUAAAAAGUACGUGAAAUUGUUGAAAGGGAAGCGCUUGAGACCAGACUCGGUGAUAGGUGAUCAGCGGUUGCUUUUGCUCCGUGCACUUGCCUUUUACCGGGCCAGCAUCAGUUACAGCGGUGGGAUAAAGACUCAGGGAAUGUGGCUCCCUUCGGGGAGUGUUAUAGCCUUGGGUGUAAUGCCACCUGUUGUGACUGAGGACCGCGCUUCGGCUAGGAUGCUGGCAUAAUGGUCUUCAGCGACCCGUCUUGAAACACGGACCAAGGAGUCUAACAUCUAUGCGAGUGUUCGGGUGUAAAACCCCUACGCGGAAUGAAAGUGAACGGAGGUGGGAACCUUUUAGGUGCACCAUCGACCGAUCCUGAUGUUUACGGAUGGAUUUGAGUAGGAGCAUAGCUGUUGGGACCCGAAAGAUGGUGAACUAUGCCUGAAUAGGGUGAAGCCAGAGGAAACUCUGGUGGAGGCUCGCAGCGGUUCUGACGUGCAAAUCGAUCGUCAAAUUUGGGUAUAGGGGCGAAAGACUAAUCGAACCAUCUAGUAGCUGGUUCCUGCCGAAGUUUCCCUCAGGAUAGCAGUAACGAUCUCAGUUUU